rnacentral:sRNA from 1 species
GUAGAAUGCUUAGUAUAGUCCUUGGUAUUUUGGGAGCAAUCAAUACAUUAUAGACAGUGGUAUAAAUAGUUUUAUUUCAAUUAUAGUGUUAUUGACUAUAUAGGGGAAAAUGUUUUUAUAGAUACUUUUCUGAAUCAGUUAAUUAAAUGUAGCUUGCCUGAUGAUUAUUAUUUAUAGACCAAAUAUAUGUAAAGAAACCUUUUGUUAAUGCAAAAUAGACAAACUCUUUCCUUUUCCAUCUUUUGCUUUUGUUUAGGAUGAAGGUACAAUGUUUCCUGUGGGGAAAAAUGUAGUGUACACUUGCAAUGAAGGAUACUCUCUUAUUGGAAACCCAGUGGCCAGAUGUGGAGAAGAUUUACAGUGGCUUGUUGGGGAAAUGCAUUGUCAGAAAAUUGCCUGUGUUCUACCUGUACUGAUGGAUGGCAUACAGAGUCACCCCCAAAAACCUUUCUACACAGUUGGUGAGAAGGUGACUGUUUCCUGUUCAGGUGGCAUGUCCUUAGAAGGUCCUUCAGCAUUUCUCUGUGGCUCCAGCCUUAAGUGGAGUCCUGAGAUGAA